rnacentral:rRNA from 1 species
GACGUGAGGAGCGAGCGAUGAGCGGAUUUAUCGGGCGUAAAGAGCGUGUAGGCGGCUUGGCAAGCCUGCUGUGAAAACUGGGGGCUCAACCCUCAGACGUCGGUGGGAACUGCCUCGCUAGAGUUCGGAAGACGGGAGUGGAAUUCCAGGUGUAGCGGUGGAAUGCGCAGAUAUCUGGAGGAACACCAAAGGCUAAGGCAGCUCCCGAGGACGAUACUGACGCUGAGACGCGAAAGCGUGGGGAGCAAACAGG